rnacentral:rRNA from 1 species
CCUACGGGUGGCAGCAGUAGGGAAUCUUCCACAAUGGGCGCAAGCCUGAUGGAGCAACACCGCGUGAGUGAAGAAGGGUUUCGGCUCGUAAAGCUCUUUUGUUGGGGAAGUACGUUCGUGAGAGUAACUGUUCACGCAUUUACGGUAUCCAACCAGAUAGUCACGGCUAACUACGUGCCAGCAGCCGCGGUAAUACGUAGGUGGCAAGCGUUAUCCGGAUUUAUUGGGCGUAAAGGGAGCGCAGGCGGUGUCUUAGGUCUGAUGUGAAAGCUGUCGGCUUAACCGAAGAAGUGCAUCGGAUACCGGGCAACUUGAGUGCAGAAGAGGAAAGUGGAACUCGAUGUGUAGCGGUGGAAUGCGUAGAUAUAUGGAAGAACACCAGUGGCGAAGGCGGCUGUCUGGUCUGCAACUGAUGCUGAGGCUCGAAAGCAUGGGUAGCGAACAGGAUUAGAUACCCGUGUAGUC